rnacentral:rRNA from 1 species
UUGACCUCGGAUCAGGUAGGGAUACCCGCUGAACUUAAGCAUAUCAAUAAGCGGAGGAAUUUUUCAAUUAGCCGAGGAAG